GAGUUUGAUCUUGGCUCAGAUUGAACGCUGGCGGUAUGCUUAACACAUGCAAGUCGAACGGUAACAGGAGAGAGCUUGCUCUUUUGCUGACGAGUGGCGGACGGGUGAGUAAUGCGUAGGAAUCUGCCUAGUAGUGGGGGACAACGUGUGGAAACGCACGCUAAUACCGCAUACGCCCUACGGGGGAAAGCGGGGAUCUUCGGACCUCGCGCUAUUAGAUGAGCCUACGUUAGAUUAGCUAGUUGGUGGGGUAAAGGCCUACCAAGGCGACGAUCUAUAGCUGGUCUGAGAGGAUGAUCAGCCACACUGGGACUGAGACACGGCCCAGACUCCUACGGGAGGCAGCAGUGGGGAAUAUUGGACAAUGGGCGAAAGCCUGAUCCAGCAAUACCGCGUGUGUGAAGAAGGCCUGAGGGUUGUAAAGCACUUUCAAUUGUGAAGAAUAUUUAAGGUUAAUAACCUUAAAUUUUGUACGUUAACUUUAGUAAGAAGCACCGGCUAACUCCGUGCCAGCCGCCGUAAG
rnacentral:rRNA from 1 species